GCAGAGUAGAACGUUAUGCGUUAAGUGCCGUAUGAACAGGGAGUUGUCAUAUGGACGAAAAGCACUUCUUAUCUAUCCGAUAGAAGUACGCUUGCGGUAUAAGGUUCGCAUCCCGCUGC
rnacentral:ncRNA from 1 species